rnacentral:lncRNA from 1 species
UCUUUUGGAGUUCUAGCUCACCUUUCUGGUGUUGUUCUUGUACUCAUCUGUUUAAUCUAGUUCUGCCACUUCUUCUUGAACUUCUUGUUAGAUUUUAAGUCUGUAUUUUGUGUCCGUGACAGUUUGUCGAGACUACACUAACUUGAAAUAUCAGAGCUAGUUCUUUCUUAGUAGAGUAUCGAUUACCUCUCUACUUGAAGGUAUACUAGCAUUUUUUAGAGGUUGCGGAUUACCCUCCUCUAAACUGAUACUUCUUCUGUUACAAUAUUGGAGUCUUAUUCUUCUUGGAGAGAGUGGAUUAUCCCUCUUCUUGAAAUUCUUAAGGCAUUUUAUAAGUUGUGGAUUACCCUCCUAUAAACCAAUAUUGCCUCUUAUAGGGUCAUUUUUGUCCUUCUUUUAGAAUGA